AUUGUGUUGUUAUAUAAAUAUGCCUUCUAGGGUUAGGGUUUUCCAGCUAAGCAAUAAGAGAAGCUAGCUAGGUGUUUUAUCAUAAUUAAUAUUCUCUUCCUUCCCCUAUGCCAUAUUGUUUGGCAGGAGCGAAGAGAUGAAAAAAGUUAUGAGGAGAAAUGACUCCUCAAGAAACUCUACAAAUUCGUCCUUUACAGUGAGGACAGUGAGAUAUGUAGAGUGCCAGAGGAAUCAUGCUGCCAGUGUUGGCGGAUACGUUGUAGAUGGGUGCCGGGAGUACAUGCCAGACAGUACUUCCGGCACCCUAAAUUGUGCUGCCUGUGGCUGCCACCGAAACUUCCACAGAAGGGAAGUGGAAACUGAAGUUGCUUCUGAUUGUACUUCUGCUACUUCCACUACUACAUGAAGUCUUGUUUUAUAUAUGUGUGAAUAAGUUGUGAGAUCGUUUGUAAUGAUUUGCACGUUGAUGGAGUUUCAAGAGUGAACCGUUUAUUUAUAUGUAAUAAAUUGGUCCUGCAUUUAGGGGAGAAAAGAUGUGUUUCUGUUUUGAUUA